UGACCCCCUGGGAAGUCCUCGUGUUGCGACCC
rnacentral:rRNA from 1 species